rnacentral:tRNA from 1 species
CAAAGUAUAGCUUAAAGAAGCGUUUCGCUUACACCGAAAAGAAUUUCUGUGCAAACCAGUCUACUUUGA